AUUGAACGCUGGCGGCAGGCCUAACACAUGCAAGUCGAACGAGUGGCGGACGGGUGAGUAAUGUCUGGGAAACUGCCUGAUGGAGGGGGAUAACUACUGGAAACGGUAGCUAAUACCGCAUACCAUCAGAUGUGCCCAGAUGGGAUUAGCUAGUUGGUGGGGUAACGGCUCACCAAGGCGACGAUCCCUAGCUGGUCUGAGAGGAUGACCAGGCAGACUGGAACUGAGAAACGGUCCAGGCUCCUACGGGAGGCGGCAGAGGGGAAUAUUGCACGAUGGGCGCGAGCAUGAUGCAGCAAUGCCGCGAGUAUGAAGAAGGCAUUCGGGUUGUAAAGUACUUUCAGCGGGGAGGCGUUACCCGCAGAAGAAGCACCGGCUAACUCCGUGCCAGCAGCCGCGGUAAUAC
rnacentral:rRNA from 1 species